GACAGAGGAGCCCAGCGUUGUCCGGAUUGACUGGGCGUAAAGCGCACGCAGGCGGUCGCGCGCGUGGGGUGUGAAAUCUGGCCGCUUAACGGCCAGGCGCCAUCCCAUACGGCGCGACUGGAGUGAUGCAGAGGUCGAUGGAAUUGCCGGUGUAGUGGUGAAAUGCGUAGAGAUCGGCAGGAACACCCAGGGGGAAACCAGUCGACUGGGCAUCUACUGACGCUGAGGUGCGAGAGCGUGGGGAGCGAACCGG
rnacentral:rRNA from 1 species